GCAUACUGCACGGGGAAGUGGGAAAGCGCAAAAUCUCAUUCUAUGCAAUGGUUCCUAUUUUGGAGUGGCUAUUUUGCAAUUUUGCUAUGUAGUUGUUCUGAUUUUCGAUUGGUAGAUUUCCUGAAAAGGGACAAUUGAUUGUGCACCUCUAACUUGGACCAAGUUUUUUUGUUUUUAGAGCAACUUGGGAAUGCUAAGUUAAAAGAUUUGCUAUGGGC
rnacentral:misc_RNA from 1 species